GCGUUGUCCGGAUUUAUUGGGCGUAAAGAGCUCGUAGGCGGUUCGAUAAGUCGGGUGUGAAAACUCUGGGCUCAACCCAGAGACGCCACCUGAUACUGUUGUGACUGGAGUCUGGUAGGGGAGUGUGGAAUUCCCGGUGUAGCGGUGAAAUGCGCAGAUAUCGGGAGGAACACCAGUGGCGAAGGCGGCACUCUGGGCCAGUACUGACGCUGAGGAGCGAAAGCGU
rnacentral:rRNA from 1 species